rnacentral:rRNA from 1 species
UUGAAAGGGAAACGAUUGAAGUCAGUCGUGCUGGCGCGAAAUCAACCCUCUCGUCGAGAGGUCACAUGGCGUGGCGAGCCUCAAAACCGUCACGAAGCGUGAACUCUUGGCGAAAAGGAGCACUUUUUUGUCCGCUGGUUAACAUCAAUUUCGAACGUCAUAAAAAGGCUGGAGGGAUGUGGCUCCUUCGGGAGUGUUAUAACCUUUAGCGGAAUGUGGUGGUCGGGAUUGAGGAUUGCAACGAAUACCUUUAGGGCAGUUCCUUCUGGUCUCUUGUUGACGUUCAGAUGGCGACAGCUUGCUGACGUUGUUUGAAUAGUUGGCGAAUAGAUUGGAAUGUGAAUUAAUUCGUUAAGGAUGUUGACGUA